UCCGUAGGCGGGCAGCUCAGUCAGUGGUGAAAGUUUGCAGCUCAACUGUAAAAUUGCCAUUGAUACUGGUUGUCUUGAAUUAAUGUGAAGUGGUUAGAAUAAGUAGUGUAGCGGUGAAAUGCAUAGAUAUUACUUAGAAUACCAAUUGCGAAGGCAGAUCACUAACAUUAUAUUGACGCUGAGGGACGAAAGCGUGGGGAGCGAACAGGAUUAGAUACCCUGGUAGUCC
rnacentral:rRNA from 1 species